GCAACACCAAUAGACAUCAUGGCUCAAGGAUUCUCCCCAGGCAGAGAGCGUGGGGGAGAGGAAGGCUAUGUGUGGGAGGAGAGGGCUUGGCCAGGAAAGAGAUGUGAUGUGGUGGGGGAUUCCCGGGUACAGGUGUAGAAUCCCACGGUGUCAGUCCCACGCUCUGCAGAUGCACAGCGUCUGGGAAAGAGGAUUAUGGAAUGAGCUGUGCCGGCCUUUCUUCCCAGGUCACCCCAGACCGUGCUGCCAGUCUCAGCUGGCUUCGGGGCUGCCGGUUCUCUCCUCCCACUGCAGCGUGUCAGGGCAGAGCCAUCCCGUGAGGAGCCUGGGGACAGCUGACCAAACAGAGAGCAUCGGUAGACAGCUGAGCUGCCACGGUCAUGGUCGUGGUCAUGAGCCCACAGCCCAGGACCACUUGCCAUUGGUGAUGCUUGGGUCUGAGCAGCAGAUUGAAGUGCAAAGCCCAUUUUUUGGGAGAGGUUGGACCGGUUGUAUUCAUGAAUCAAGCCAUCCCUCUGUCUGUCUCUGAACCUGUUCUUUCACUUGUUUGGGGGAAUUAAGGAAUAACUGGGAGAUGAAACAGGAAACUUUAUGACACACUUGCUUGAAAAUGACACAGGACUCAGCCCCUCUGCAUCACCUCUACCUGCUGCCCACAGCCGAAUGCGGGGGAAGGGCUGGCCCUGGGACCUGAUUCCAACCGCCGUGGACUCGACGUUCAGUGUGAUGUGUCUGCCAUACUGUGGUCAUGGGCUAGUCUGGUCGGUUUCCUAUGUAGCUGGCCACUCUCAGUGUAUCUUUGCCCCUUUUCCUUCAUUAAAAGCAUAACUAAAGAAAAAUGGAUUGUUUACUUAUUGUUGCUGUUCAUCCGCUAAGUUGUGUCUGACCCUUUGAGACCCCAUGGGCUGUAGCACUCCAGGCUCCUCUGAACUCCACGAUCUCAAUAGCUCUGUUUAAAUCUCAAUGUAAAGGAGAC
ensembl:lncRNA